rnacentral:rRNA from 1 species
CAAUCGAACCCGGAGAUAGCUGGUUCUCCCCGAAAUAGCUUUAGGGCUAGCGUCGGAAAGAACCUUAGUGAAGGUAGAGCACUGAAUGUGUGAUGGCCCCAUCCCGGGGUACUGAAUACAAUCAAACUGCGAAUGUCAUUAAGGAUGUCCGGCAGUCAGACUGUGAGUGAUAAGGUCCAUGGUCAAGAGGGAAACAGCCCAGACCGCCAGUUAAGGUCCCAAAAUACAGGCUAAGUGGAAAAGGAUGUGGGGAUGCCCAGACAACUAGGAGGUUGGCUCAGAAGCAGCCAUCCUUUAAAGAGUGCGUAACAGCUCACUAGUCGAGUGACCCUGCGCCGAAAAUGUACCGGGGCUAAGCCUGAUACCGAAACUGCGGAUUGUAGGAAACUAUAGUGGUAGGGGAGCGUUGUAUACGAGUAGAAGCCGUACCGUGAGGAGCGGUGGAUUGUAUAGAAGUGAGAAUGCCGGUGUGAGUAGCGAGAUGUAGGUGAGAAUCCUACACACCGAAAGCCCAAGGAUUCCAGGGGAAGGUUCGUCCGCCCUGGGUAAGUCGGGACCUAACGCGAGGCCGAAAGGCGUAGUGGAUGGAAAGCAGGCGAAAGAUUCCUGCACCCGUAUAUGGAGCGAAGGAGUGACGGAGACGGAUAGUGUGACCCUCUUAAUGGAUUGAGGGCGAAGCGAAGCGGCUGGUUACCAGGCAAAUCCGGUAACCAUAAGGCUAGAGCGUGACAGGUAAGCGAAAUCUUAGGAAAGUAGCGAAGCACAUGAUGACGGCUUCCAGGAAAAGCUUCUGGCAAUGCAUAUGCGGCCCGUACCAAAACCGACACAGGUGGGCAGGGAGAGAAUCCCGAGGUGAGCGAGAGAACUGUUGCCAAGGAACUCGGCAAAAUGACUCCGUAAGUUAGCGAGAAGGAGUGCUUAAGCAAUUAAGCCGCAGUGAAGAGGCCCAAGCGACUGUUUAACUAAAACACAGCUCUCUGCGAAGUCGCAAGACGAAGUAUAGGGGGUGACACCUGCCCGGUGCUGGAAGGUUAAGAGGAUCUGUUAAGAGCGAUCUGAAGCAGUGAUCCGAAGCCCCAGUGAACGGCGGCCGUAACUAUAACGGUCCUAAGGUAGCGAAAUUCCUUGUCAGGUAAGUUCUGACCCGCACGAAAGGUGUAACGAUUUGGGCGCUGUCUCGGCAGCAGACUCGGUGAAAUCUUAGUACCUGUGAAAAUGCAGGUUACCCGCAACUAGACGGAAAGACCCCAUGGAGCUUUACUGCAGCCUGAUAUUGAAUUCUGGUCAUACAUGUACAGGAUAGGUGGGAGACAAAGAGACGUGCACGCCAGUGUACGAGGAGUCGCCGUUGGGAUACCACUCUUGUGUGACCGGGGUUCUAACCUGGUAUCGAGAACAGGUACGGGGAGAGUGUCAGGUGGGCAGUUUGACUGGGGCGGUCGCCUCCCAAAGAGUAACGGAGGCGCCCAAAGGUACGCUCAGAUUGGAUGGAAACCAAUCGUCGAGUGCAAUUGCAGAAGCGUGCUUGACUGUGAGACUUACAAGUCGAACAGGGACGAAAGUCGGGAAUAGUGAUCCGGCGGUGCCGAAUGGAAGGGCCGUCGCUCAACGGAUAAAAGCUACCCUGGGGAUAACAGGCU